AAAUCACAUGAGUCGUUAAUUGAUGAUGAUUGUGAUAACAUAAGGGAAAAAAAUGAUAUCACCUUAUUAUAAGUGUUGUCCAAAACUGGUGCCAGAAGACUCGGUAAGACCAGAGACGCGAACGUUAGUCAUCUUAAUCAGGCGUAAAGGGUGUGUAGGCUGCUUUUAAAAUUUUUAAAUCUUUAUAAUAGCUCUCUUGCAUUUCGGAGGUGUCGAGUUAGUGACAGACAAAACAAAGAAGGGUGUAAGAGAAAAGAGUUAACAAAAGAAAUGAAAGCUAGAAUCAAAUGUAGGAUAAGCCGAAUAAUACUUAGAGUAGGGGUUAUAUCCGCAGAUACUAAGGGGAAUACUAACGGUGAAAACUUUUAUCUAGUAUUGAUUGACGCUGAGAAACGAAGGUGAUAAUAGGAAAUAGGAUUAGAUACCCAGAUACCUUUCACUGUCAACGAUGAAUGGUGAUUUGUUAGUUUUGGUAAAAACUAGUAAUGAUGUUAACACGUUAACCAUUCCGCCUUGCGAGUACGGUUGCAAAACUGAAACCAAAAAAAUUAGUCGGUUUCGAAGCAAACGAAGUGAGCAUGUUAUUUAAUACGAGAGUACGCGUAAAACCUUACCAGUUCUUGCAUAUCCAAUUAAUUUUAAUUGAGUAAUUUUUAUAAUAUUUAAAAAUUCGUUUACA
rnacentral:rRNA from 1 species